GUUAAUAAAAACAGACGUGUAGGCAUUAUAGUUGGAGAAAGCAGCUGUUCCCCUUUGUGGUCAACGACUGGAAACACACCCAAGUUCACUGAAGCGUGGGCCUAUUCCAGAUAUUUGUCUCCCGCCUAUGUUGUAUGCAAGAUGAAACGCACCCAGCUUUGCUGACAAAUGGGUCCAAUAAGAGCGCAUAAUCUUGUCAGUGAUCCCGCAGCAAGUGCAGCUUACCAAAUUUUCAUUUUGUGCCCAAGAACUUGAAAGAGAGAUCUUCAAAUUCCGUAUUCCCUCGCCUCCCCCCAAAUAAAAACAUGGCUACCGUAGUGCCCCUCCAAACUCCCACCUUGUAUUUCCAAAAUUAGCACUCUCCUCUCUGCUGGUUGUAAAGUCCAACUAGAUCUACGGUGGCGAAUGACCUCGGCGGUCGCGGGGUAACUCAGUGGCGGCAGCAAGCUCCACAGGCGGCGGGCAUCAAUGUGUGGCAUGGUCGGCGACACUCUUGGAGGAACAUCUCAGUGUCCCUGCAGCAGCUGCGCCCAUGCUUG
rnacentral:lncRNA from 1 species